rnacentral:rRNA from 1 species
CGCGUAGGCGGUUUUUUAAGUCAGAUGUGUAAUCCCCGAGCUUAACUUGGGAACUGCAUCUGAGACUGGAAGGCUAGAGUACUGGAGAGGGUGGUGGAAUUCCUCGUGUAGCGGUGAAAUGCGUAGAGAUGAGGAGGAACACCAGUGGCGAAGGCGGCCACCUGGACAGUAACUGACGCUGAGGCGCGAAAGUGUGGGUAGCAAACAGGAUUAGAUACCCUGGUAGUCCACGCUGUAAACGAUGAACACUUGGUGUGGAGGGAGUUGACCCCUUCCGUGCCGGAGCUAACGCGUUAAGUGUUCCGCCUGGGGAGUACGGGUCGCAAGGCUGAA